rnacentral:rRNA from 1 species
UAGGGAAUCUUCGGCAAUGGACGGAAGUCUGACCGAGCAACGCCGCGUGAGUGAAGAAGGUUUUCGGAUCGUAAAGCUCUGUUGUAAGAGAAGAACGAGUGUGAGAGUGGAAAGUUCACACUGUGACGGUAUCUUACCAGAAAGGGACGGCUAACUACGUGCCAGCAGCCGCGGUAAUACGUAGGUCCCGAGCGUUGUCCGGAUUUAUUGGGCGUAAAGCGAGCGCAGGCGGUUAGAUAAGUCUGAAGUUAAAGGCUGUGGCUUAACCAUAGUACGCUUUGGAAACUGUUUAACUUGAGUGCAAGAGGGGAGAGUGGAAUUCCAUGUGUAGCGGUGAAAUGCGUAGAUAUAUGGAGGAACACCGGUGGCGAAAGCGGCUCUCUGGCUUGUAGCUGACGCUGAGGCUCGAAAGCGUGGGGAGCAAACAGGAUUAGAUACCCUGGUAGUCCACGCCGUAAACGAUGAGUGCUAGGUGUUAGACCCUUUCCGGGGUUUAGUGCCGCAGCUAACGCAUUAAGCACUCCGCCUGGGGAGUACGACCGCAAGGUUG